rnacentral:rRNA from 1 species
AGGCCGAACGCUGGCGGCGUGCCUAACACAUGCAAGUCGAGCGAGAUCCAUCCAGUGGCAACACUGGUGAAGAUCUAGCGGCGAACGGGUGAGUAACACGUGAGAAACCUGCCCCGGAGACCGGGAUAACCCGAGGAAACUCGGGCUAAUACCGGAUACCCCCACCGAACCGCAUGAUUUGGUGAGGAAAUGCUCCGACGCUCCGGGAGGGUCUCGCGGCCUAUCAGCUAGUUGGUGAGGUAACGGCUCACCAAGGCUAAGACGGGUAGCUGGUCUGAGAGGACGAUCAGCCACACUGGGACUGAGGCACGGCCCAGACUCCUACGGGAGGCAGCAGUGGGAAUCUUGCGCAAUGGGCGAAAGCCUGACGCAGCAACGCCGCGGUGGGGAUGGAAGGCUUUCGGUUGUAAACCCGUUUCAGGAGGACGAAAUGACGGUACCUCAGAAGAGCCCGCAACGACGUGCCAGCAGCCGC